rnacentral:rRNA from 1 species
GGAGUAUUGGUCAAUGGGCGAGAGCCUGAACCAGCCAAGUAGCGUGAAGGAUGACUGCCCUAUGGGUUGUAAACUUCUUUUAUAAAGGAAUAAAGUCGGGUAUGGAUACCCGUUUGCAUGUACUUUAUGAAUAAGGACCGGCUAAUUCCGUGCCAGCAGCCGCGGUAAUACGGAAGGUCCGGGCGUUAUCCGGAUUUAUUGGGUUUAAAGGGAGCGUAGGCCGGAGAUUAAGCGUGUUGUGAAAUGUAGACGCUCAACGUCUGCACUGCAGCGCGAACUGGUUUUCUUGAGAACGCACAAAGUGGGCGGAAUUCGUGGUGUAGCGGUGAAAUGCUUAGAUAUCACGAAGAACUCCGAUUGCGAAGGCAGCUCACUGGAGCGCAACUGACGCUGAAGCUCGAAAGUGCGGGUAUCGAACAGGAUUAGAUACCCCGG